GUCAGCAAUAACGGAAGUUCAUCCUCUGUAUAUAAUAUCAACGGUGGUGCUGGUAAUGGAGGUAACAGUUAUGGAGGCGGUCCAGCUGGAGGUGGUGGCUUCAAAAUAGCAUAUUAUGAUGACGAUAAUAUAAAUAAAAAAAGAUUGGGAAGGCAAACAUAUAAUUUUGGUACCGGAGGAAGCAGUAGUGGGAGUGGACACGGUGGAAGUGGUGGACAAGUUGGAGAUAACUACUACGGAAACGCCGGAAAAACCACAAAUUCAAACAACCAAAACGGUUACGGCAUCUCUUUGCUAGGAGGUGUCGCUAAAGGAGUUAGUAAUGAUGCUUAUUAUUCCCAGCCGCCAGCCUAUCCGUACCCUUCCCAGCCGCCAGCCUAUCCGUACCCUGACUUAAAUGCGUAUGGUUACCUAAAUCCCCUAUUUCUGCAAUAGUGAAAAUGGUAUGCUGAUGUUAAAUGUUAUGUUAUCUUCUUCGAUCAUCAGUUGUUAUUGUUGAUCGAAGG